rnacentral:tRNA from 1 species
GCCAGCAUGGUGCAGUGGUUUGAGUGUUGGACUAUGACUCUGGAGACCAGGGUUCAAAACCCUGGCUUGACC